GAUGAACGCUGGCGGCGUGCCUAACACAUGCAAGUCGAACGGAGUCCAGCCUUUAAGACCUUCGGGUCAAAGAGGGGAAGACUGAGUGGCGGACGGGUGAGUAACACGUGGGCAACCUGGCGCAUAGAGGGGGAUAACAGAGAGAAAUUUCUGCUAAUACCGCAUAAGCACACACUGCCGCAUGGCAGAGGGUGAAAAGAGAAUCGCUAUGAGAUGGACCCGCGUCUGAUUAGCCAGUUGGCAGGGUAAGAGCCUACCAAAGCGACGAUCAGUAGCCGAUCUGAGAGGAUGAACGGCCACAUUGGGACUGAGACACGGCCCAAACUCCUACGGGAGGCAGCAGUGGGGGAUAUUGCACAAUGGGGGGAACCCUGAUGCAGCGACGCCGCGUGAGUGAAGAAGUAUUUCGGUAUGUAAAGCUCUAUCAGCAGGGAAGAUAAUGACAGUACCUGAAUAAGAAGCCCCGGCUAACUACGUG
rnacentral:rRNA from 1 species